UACGGAGGGAGCUAGCGUUGUUCGGAAUUACUGGGCGUAAAGUGCACGUAGGCGGCUUUGUAAGUUAGAGGUGAAAGCCCGGGGCUCAACUCCGGAACUGCCUUUAAGACUGCAUCGCUUGAAUCCAGGAGAGGUGAGUGGAAUUCCGAGUGUAGAGGUGAAAUUCGUAGAUAUUCGGAAGAACACCAGUGGCGAAGGCGGCUCACUGGACUGGUAUUGACGCUGAGGUGCGAAAGCGUGGGGAGCGAACAGG
rnacentral:rRNA from 1 species